AAGUCGUAACAAGGUUUCCGUAGGUGAACCUGCGGAAGGAUCAUUAAAGAAUUCGACCUCGCGGUCUUUUCUUCUCCCACAGCUGUGCGCUUCGGCUGCACGCCGUGGGAUAAACCUCACACACCCCCGUGCACACUUCGGUCGCGGACGGCCUCACGGUCGAACGCUUCCGCUUUUACAUACAACUACCGCAGUCUCGAAUGUCAGAUACCAUAAACAUUAACAACUUUCAACAACGGAUCUCUUGGCUCUC
rnacentral:misc_RNA from 1 species